CGAGACUCUAGCCUACUAAUUAGCGUAUCGAUCUGUUGUCGAUACAAUGCUUCUUAGAGGGACAGGCGCAAUGAAAGGCGCACGAAGUAGAGCAAUAACAGGUCUGUGAUGCCCUUCGAUGUUCGAGGCUGCACGCGCGCUACAAUGGAGGGCGCAAAGCGCAUGUUGCAUUUCGAAAGAGAUUUGCAGAAUCGUGAAUAGCCUUCAUGACUGGGAUCGGAGAUUGAAAUUAUUCUUCGUGAACGAGGAAUUCCUAGUAAGCGCGAAUCAUUACUUCGCGUUGAUUAAGUCCCUGCCCUUUGUACACACCGCCCGUCGCUACUACCGAUUGAAUGAUUUGGUGAGGUCUGUGGAUAGGUGCAGUGGGGCCUCAAACCCCAUUGAUUACCUAAAAGCUGACCAAGCUUGAGCGUUUAGAGGAAGUAAAAGUCGUAACAAGGUUUCUGUAGGUG
rnacentral:rRNA from 1 species